rnacentral:rRNA from 1 species
GGUCAAGCUAAUAAGAGCAUAGGGUGAAUGCCUUGGCACCAGGAGCCGAAGAAGGACGUGACAAGCUGCGAUAAGCUGCGGUUAGGCGCAAAUAGCCAUUGACCCGCAGAUUUCCGAAUGGGGAAACCCACCUGAGGUAAACGCUCAGGUACCCGUACAUGAAUCCAUAGUGUACGGGAGGGAGACGCAGGGAACUGAAACAUCUAAGUACCUGCAGGAAAAGAAAUCAACCGAGAUUCCGUAAGUAGUGGCGAGCGAACGCGGAGGAGCCUAAACCGGGAUAUAGCAAUAUAUCCUGGGGUAAUGGACCGGCAUAAUGAUUCUGAGCACAUAGCAGAAUGAGACACUGGAACGUGUAGACCGCAGAGGGUAAAAGUCCCGUAUGCGAAAUGUGCAAAGACAGGCCGGUAUCCGGAGUACCACGAGGCACGAGAAACCUUGUGGGAAGUUGGGGGGACCACCCUCCAAGGCUAAAUACUACCUGGUGACCGAUAGUGAAGCAGUACCGUGAGGGAAAGGUGAAAAGAACCCCGGGAGGGGAGUGAAAGAGAACCUGAAACCCUAUGUUUACAAGCAGUUGAAGAGCGUUAA